CUCUGUCCUUUCGGGGCUCACUCACUACAGGUCUGGGCUUGUGCACCACCCCCUCUUUACCUAGUUGUGGGCCAAGGCUUUGUCCUCCGAUCAAGCUUUCUUCCAAGAUGAGGUCUCACUUAACACCGUCCAACAGGGGAAAAAAAAAAACUCAAAACAUCAGCUUGCAGCUGCACUAGUUCAUGUACUGGAAGUGUUUCUGAUCUAUACUGCUUGAAGUUUUUCCACUGCGUCGUCAUCGUCGUCGUCGUCGUCAUCAUCAUCAUCAUCACCACCACCACCAUCAUCACCAUCAAGCAUAUAGACCAGCCCGCAAUCCGCUCUGUAGAUGCAAAUGCCCUUGACCCUCUUCUCUUCCUGCCUCUAUCUGCCCACAGCUAACAUUGCAGAUGUGUACUAACAUCCCCAGUUAACUUGACGCUGGAUAACAAACCCAGGGCUUUGUGCAUGCUGGGCAAGUGUUCUAUCAAUCAAACUACAUGAGCAACCCAUCUCCACCACCCAUGCUAUCAAUCCCAUACCUGUGGUCACAUGAUUAUUUCCUACCCUUUACCCCUCCUUGCUUCAGAAUGGUCCGCCCA